rnacentral:lncRNA from 1 species
UAUUUUUGACCUUAGUUUUUCAAUGCUAUCUUCAUUUAACUUUGUAAAAAAGAUUAUUAAAAACAUGGAAUACAUUAAAAAAAAGUAACAUUAUUAACUUUGAUAUCAGAAGAACAUCUACACUAAUUUUUCCCCUCUCUCCACUAUUUUAUUAAUUCAAGAAAAGAGUAAUUAAAACAAAAAAAAUGAUAAUAGACGGUGACAAAUCCAGGAAACCCAAUGGGCAUGUCUUCCCGGGGCAUGGAAGAACGUGACAGUUUCUCUCCCGACGACGACUCAGAUCUUUCAAUUUUCCUCUUUUUCACAUCUUUCUUUAAUUUCUAAUCAUAUGUUAUUUUCAGUAAGUUUUAGAUCUACAGUAGUUGAAAAUAUUCCAGAUCGAUGAUGAUUCUAUCUCUCCCGCUGGCGUCUCAAGCAUAAUUGGAUCCGCUCAUUAAUUUGUCUAGUUUUGUAGUUAUUGUGUUGAAUGUUUUUGGGCUAUAGGAGAAGAUAUGUUUUAGUGAAGGAAUCAACAUAAGAUAAUCACAAAAUCUCAAUUCUUUUUUCUCUGUUCAAGCACCUUCGGGCUUCCCUCAUCCUAUUUACAAGAAGAUAAUGGGUAGAUAUGGUGGAAAAAAUGAAGUUUGGAAGAGAAAAGAAGAUGUGGGGUUUCAUAGAAGAAUUCAGAAGAAGUUUAUCUUGGAAGACAUCAGAAGAAGUUUUUGGAAGCAAAACAUUCAUGGGUCCGAAGAAGUCUCUCUCUAGAUUUGCUUUCCUUAAAUUUGAAAUGAGGGAAUAUGCAUAAGAGGCAAGAAAGAUAAGGAAUCUCCAGUGUUUUUUAAACAGAAGAAUAAGGGUAGACAGUCCUCGAAGAGAGUUAUGGUCAGUUGAGGAAAUAAAAAAUCAGAAAAAAAGAAGAGAAUUUUGACAUGUCAUGUAAUUAUGUAUAUAUGUGCACACUUAGAGGGUAUAUAUGUGCACACUUAGAGGGAGUGAAUAACAAUGGAUUAAUUUUGUCAUGUAAUUUUGUAUAUACUAGAAGUAAUUAACAAUGGCAAC